rnacentral:rRNA from 1 species
AAUAGAUACCCAGGUAGUCCACGCCCUAAACGAUGUCAACUAGUUGUUGGGGAUUCAUUUCCUUAGUAACGUAGCUAACGCGUGAAGUUGACCGCCUGGGGAGUACGGUCGCAAGAUUAAAACUCAAAGGAAUUGACGGGGACCCGCACAAGCGGUGGAUGAUGUGGAUUAAUUCGAUGCAACGCGAAAAACCUUACCUACCCUUGACAUGUACGGAAGUCCGCUGAGAGGUGGAUGUGCCCGAAAGGGAGCCGUAACACAGGUGCUGCAUGGCUGUCGUCAGCUCGUGUCGUGAGAUGUUGGGUUAAGUCCCGCAACGAGCGCAACCCUCGCCUUUAGUUGCCGCGCAAGCGGAUCUCUAGAGGGACUGCCGGUGUUAAACCGGAGGAAGGUGGGGAUGACGUCAAGUCCUCAUGGCCUUUAUGACCAGGGCUACACACGUGCUACAAUGGCCGGUACAAAGCGUUGCCAACUCGCGAGGGGGAGCUAAUCCCAGAAAGUGUAUCGUAGUCCGGAUUGUAGUCUGCAACUCGACUACA